rnacentral:rRNA from 1 species
GACGAACGCUGGCGGCGUGCUUAACACAUGCAAGUCGAACGGAAAGGCCCUGCUUUUGUGGGGUGCUCGAGUGGCGAACGGGUGAGUAACACGUGAGUAACCUGCCCUUGACUUUGGGAUAACUUCAGGAAACUGGGGCUAAUACCGGAUAGGAGCUCCUGCUGCACGGUGGGGGUUGGAAAGUUUCGGCGGUUGGGGAUGGACUCGCGGCUUAUCAGCUUGUUGGUGGGGUAGUGGCUUACCAAGGCUUUGACGGGUAGCCGGCCUGCGAGGGUGACCGGCCACAUUGGGACUGAGAUACGGCCCAGACUCCUACGGGAGGCAGCAGUGGGGAAUAUUGCACGAUGGGCGGAAGCCUGAUGCAGCAACGCCGCGUGCGGGAUGACGGCCUUCGGGUUGUAAACCGCUUUCGCCUGUGACGAAGCGUGAGUGACGGUAAUGGGUAAAGAAGCACCGGCUAACUACGUG